CCUACGGGAGGCAGCAGUGGGGAAUAUUGGACAAUGGGCGAAAGCCUGAUCCAGCAAUGCCGCGUGAGUGAUGAAGGCCUUAGGGUUGUAAAGCUCUUUUACCAGGGAUGAUAAUGACAGUACCUGGAGAAUAAGCUCCGGCUAACUCCGUGCCAGCAGCCGCGGUAAUACGGAGGGAGCUAGCGUUGUUCGGAAUUACUGGGCGUAAAGCGUACGUAGGCGGUUAUUCAAGUCAGAGGUGAAAGCCUGGAGCUCAACUCCAGAACUGCCUUUGAAACUAGAUAGCUAGAAUCUUGGAGAGGUGAGUGGAAUUCCGAGUGUAGAGGUGAAAUUCGUAGAUAUUCGGAAGAACACCAGUGGCGAAGGCGACUCACUGGACAAGUAUUGACGCUGAGGUACGAAAGCGUGGGGAGCAAACAGGAUUAGAUACCCUGGUAGUCCACGUCGUAAACGAUGAUAACUAGCUGUUCGGGCUCUACGAGCUUGAGUGGCGCAGCUACGACAUUAAGUUAGUCCGUCCGUCGGGAGGUACGGUCGCGAAGAAGUUAAACGUAACGUAAAGUUAAAGUUAGUACGGCGUUGAGACGUUGCCGACGGACGACGACGAGGGAGGAGG
rnacentral:rRNA from 1 species